rnacentral:rRNA from 1 species
UGGGGAAUAUUGGACAAUGGGCGAAAGCCUGAUCCAGCAAUGCCGCGUGAGUGAUGAAGGCCUUAGGGUUGUAAAGCUCUUUUACCCGGGAUGAUAAUGACAGUACCGGGAGAAUAAGCUCCGGCUAACUCCGUGCCAGCAGCCGCGGUAAUACGGAGGGAGCUAGCGUUGUUCGGAAUUACUGGGCGUAAAGCGCGCGUAGGCGGCUAUUCAAGUCAGAGGUGAAAGCCCGGGGCUCAACCCCGGAAUUGCCUUUGAAACUAGAUAGCUAGAAUCUGGGAGAGGUGAGUGGAAUUCCGAGUGUAGAGGUGAAAUUCGUAGAUAUUCGGAAGAACACCAGUGGCGAAGGCGGCUCACUGGACCAGAAUUGACGCUGAGGUGCGAAAGCGUGGGGAGCAA